rnacentral:rRNA from 1 species
UACGAAGGGGGCUAGCGUUGCUCGGAAUCACUGGGCGUAAAGGGUGCGUAGGCGGGGCUUUAAGGCAGGGGGGAAAUCCCGGAGCUCAACUCCGGAACUGCCUUUGAUACUGGCAAUCUUGAGGCUGGAAGAGGUUAGUGGAAUUCCCAGUGUAGAGGUGAAAUUCGUAGAUAUUGGGAAGAACACCAGUGGCGAAGGCGGCUAACUGGUCCAGAUCUGACGCUGAGGUGCGAAAGCGUGGGGAGCAAACAGG